UGUAGAUGGUUCUCGACUGUGC
rnacentral:piRNA from 1 species